rnacentral:rRNA from 1 species
UACGGGGGGGGUAAGCGUUGUUCGGAAUUACUGGGCUUAAAGGGCUCGUAGGCGGCCAACUAAGUCGGACGUGAAAUCCCUCAGCUUAACUGGGGAACUGCGUCUGAUACUGGAUGGCUUGGAUUUGGGAGAGGGAUGCGGAAUUCCAGGUGUAGCGGUGAAAUGCGUAGAUAUCUGGAGGAACACCGGUGGCGAAGGCGGCAUCCUGGACCAACAUUGACGCUGAGGAGCGAAAGCCAGGGGAGCAAACGGG